ACGCUCGACACCUACGGGCAGCAGUAGGGAAUCUUCCACAAUGGACGCAAGUCUGAUGGAGCAACGCCGCGUGAGUGAAGAAGGUUUUCGGAUCGUAAAGCUCUGUUGUUGGUGAAGAAGGAUAGAGGUAGUAACUGGCCUUUAUUUGACGGUAAUCAACCAGAAAGUCACGGCUAACUACGUGCUAGCAGCCGCGGUAAUCUGAGCGGGCUGGCAAGGC
rnacentral:rRNA from 1 species